GUGAGCUUUGACCAGCGGCGCUACAAGAACACCUGGGGGAGCACCGAGCUGCAGGUGCAGACGGAGCUGGAGCAGGUGCAGGUUCCCAACCCCCUCCCGUGGAUUUUGGGGGCGUCCCUGGGGGGGCUCCUCCUGCUGGGGCUGCUGGCGCUGGGGCUCUACAAGCUCGGAUUUUUCAGGCGCCGCUACCGGGAAAUGAUGGAGAGCAACGAGACCCCCGGGGACCCCCAGGAG